AUUGAACGCUGGCGGCAUGCCUUACACAUGCAAGUCGAACGGCAGCACGGGAGCAAUCCUGGUGGCGAGUGGCGAACGGGUGAGUAAUAUAUCGGAACGUGCCCAGUAGUGGGGGAUAACGCAGCGAAAGCUGUGCUAAUAACGCAUACGAUCUACGGAUGAAAGCGGGGGAUCGCGAGACCUCGCGCGAUUGGAGCGGCCGAUAUCAGAUUAGCUAGUUGGUGGGGUAAAAGCCCACCAAGGCGACGAUCAGUAGCUGGUCUGAGAGGACGACCAGCCACACUGGAACUGAGACACGGUCCAGACUCCUACGGGAGGCAGCAGUGGGGAAUUUUGGACAAUGGGCGCAAGCCUGAUCCAGCAAUGCCGCGUGCAGGAUGAAGGCCUUCGGGUUGUAAACCGCUUUUGUACGGAACGAAACGGCUCUUUCUAAUAAAGAGGGCUAAUGACGGUACCGUAAGAAUAAGCACCGGCUAACUACGUGCCAGCCGCCGCGGUAAAAC
rnacentral:rRNA from 1 species